UUUAAAAAUAUUAUAGACUCAAAAGAAAAGAAAAUUCCAUUCAUUAAAAUGGCCGGCACACACUUCGAGCAGCCCGGUCGUUUUGGUACCGCAGAAAAAUCCUGCACUCCAAUCAUUUGGCAACCAGAUGCUAGCAGUUGACAAUAUGAGCUUGAACUUAGCUGACACCCACAUAUAUUGGGUAAGUAACUGCAACGAUCGAUUACUACUACCAAUUACCACUAACGAGCUUGAGAUUUGCAACGGGCCUGAGACAGUCGCUGAGACAAGGGAAUCAAUUAAGCAAGCACAGGUGUUACAACACUUUUUAGUGAUUGCCACUUCAGUCAUAUAGAGUGUCAAAAUCACUUAUUACAGCAGUACGCAACUCGACUCGUUCUCAGCACAACACAUAUCAUCCUCCUCCUCUACGUUAAACCCGGAGGCAGCAGCUGUCAGACGACCACUAAAACAUAGCAGCACAAUUACGGUAGAAAAUAAUCCAGCCAUAUGCAGACAAGGAUUAAUAAUUAUGGUAAAUAAUUAAGUAGCCACAUCCAUCCAUGCNNNN
rnacentral:lncRNA from 1 species